GACGAACGCUGGCGGCGUGCUUAACACAUGCAAGUCGAACGAAGAGCGAUGGAAGCUUGCUUCUAUCACUCUUAGUGGCGAACGGGUGAGUAACGCGUAAUCAACCUGCCCUUCAGAGGGGGACAACAGUUGGAAACGACUGCUAAUACCGCAUACGAUCUAAUCUCGGCAUCGAGGAUAGAUGAAAGGUGGCCUCUACAUGUAAGCUACCACUGAAGGAGGGGAUUGCGUCUGAUUAGCUAGUUGGAGGGGUAACGGCCCACCAAGGCGAUGAUCAGUAGCCGGUCUGAGAGGAUGAACGGCCACAUUGGGACUGAGACACGGCCCAGACUCCUACGGGAGGCAGCAGUGGGGAAUCUUCCGCAAUGGACGAAAGUCUGACGGAGCAACGCCGCGUGAGUGAUGACGGCCUUCGGGUUGUAAAGCUCUGUUAAUCGGGACGAAAGGCCUUCUUGCGAAUAGUGAGAAGGAUUGACGGUACCGGAAGAGAAAGCCACGGCUAACUACGUG
rnacentral:rRNA from 1 species